GUGGAGAAUUUUGGACAAUGGGCGCAAGCCUGAUCCAGCAAUGCCGCGUGCAGGAAGAAGGCCUUCGGGUUGUAAACUGCUUUUGUACGGAACGAAACGGUCCUGGCUAAUAUCCGGGGCUAAUGACGGUACCGUAAGAAUAAGCACCGGCUAACUACGUGCCAGCAGCCGCGGUAAUACGUAGGGUGCGAGCGUUAAUCGGAAUUACUGGGCGUAAAGCGUGCGCAGGCGGUGCUGUAAGACAGGCGUGAAAUCGCCGGGCUCAACCUGGGAAUUGCGCUUGUGACUGCAGUGCUGGAGUGCGGCAGAGGGGGAUGGAAUUCCGCGUGUAGCAGUGAAAUGCGUAGAUAUGCGGAGGAACACCGAUGGCGAAGGCAAUCCCCUGGGCCUGCACUGACGCUCAUGCACGAAAGCGUGGGGAGCAAACAGGAUUAGAAACCCCUGUAGUCC
rnacentral:rRNA from 1 species